CCUACGGGGGACUGCAGUGAGGAAUAUUGGGCAAUGGACGCGAGUCUGAACCAGCCAAGUCGCGUGAGGGAAGACGGUCCUAUGGAUUGUAAACCUCUUUUGUCGGGGAGCAAAAGCCUCCACGCGUCGCGUUCCGAGAGUACCCGAAGAAUAAGCAUCGGCUAACUCCGUGCCAGCAGCCGCGGUAAUACGGAGGAUUCGAGCUUUAUCCGGAUUUAUUGGGUUUAAAGGGUGCGCAGGCGGAGGAGAAAGUCAGCGGUAAAAUGGAGAGGCUCAAACUCGUCGAGCCGUUGAAACUGGUUUUCUUGAGUACAGUAGAGGUGGGCGGAAUUCGUGGUGUAGCGGUGAAAUGCUUAGAUAUCACGAAGAACUCCGAUUGCGAAGGCAGCUCACUGGACUGCAACUGACACUGAGGCUCGAAAGUGUGGGUAUCAAACAGGAUUAGAUACCCUUGUAGUC
rnacentral:rRNA from 1 species